GGGGCAAACUUUUAUUUUCGUCACUCGUCCCCAAAACUCACGCGAGCGCGAGCACGGAGAGGGCCGCAACCGCCGCGAAGACGCCCGCGCUCAUCGCGCCCGCAUCCGAGGCAACCUUCGCGUCGGCCGUCUUGGUCUCGGCGUCGAGGUCGGCGACGCCGGUUCCGAGGUCCGCCGCGGAGUCCGCCUCGGUCUCCAGGGCGUCGAUAUCCGCCGCGGCGACGCCGUCGACGGUUCUCAGGACGGCGAUGGGAUCCUCGUCCUGCGCGGUGACCGUGUACCCGUUGCUCUCGAGACUGGCGAUGACCUUGGCGGAGUCGACGGAAGGAUCCGGGAUCAUCACGAUGGUGUAGGAGGCGAGGAGCUUACGGCGGGAGGAGGCGUCCUGCUCGCAGUGGGCGUUGUCGGUGGUGAGGCCGGCUUUGGCGAGAGCCUCGGUGCAAGCGGCGUCGGCAGAGUCGGCGGUGACGGUGGAUUUGAUCUUCUUCGCCUUCUUGCCGGCGAUGGCGAGGUCGGCCAGAAUCUUCACCUUAUUCUUCUUCUUCUUGUCGGUGAUCUUGUCGGUGAUGGCGUCGCGCUUCUUCUCGGCUUUCGCCUUUUGUUCCUUGUGCUUC
rnacentral:lncRNA from 1 species